GACGAACGCUGGCGGCGUGCCUAAUACAUGCAAGUAGAACGCUGAAGGAGGAGCUUGCUUCUCUGGAUGAGUUGCGAACGGGUGAGUAACGCGUAGGCAACCUGCCUGGUAGCGGGGGAUAACUAUUGGAAACGAUAGCUAAUACCGCAUAAUAGUAGAUGUUGCAUGACAUUUGCUUAAAAGGUGCAAUUGCAUCACUACCAGAUGGACCUGCGUUGUAUUAGCUAGUUGGUGAGGUAACGGCUCACCAAGGCGACGAUACAUAGCCGACCUGAGAGGGUGAUCGGCCACACUGGGACUGAGACACGGCCCAGACUCCUACGGGAGGCAGCAGUAGGGAAUCUUCGGCAAUGGACGGAAGUCUGACCGAGCAACGCCGCGGGAGUGAAGAAGGUUUUCGGAUCGUAAAGCUCUGUUGUAAGAGAAGAACGAGUGUGAGAGUGGAAAGUUCACACUGUGACGGUAUCUUACCAGAAAGGGACGGCUAACUACGUG
rnacentral:rRNA from 1 species